UCCAAAGCCCUUGUUAUUGGCACAAGCCACC
rnacentral:sRNA from 1 species